rnacentral:rRNA from 1 species
GAUGAACGCUGGCGGCGUGCCUAAUACAUGCAAGUCGAGCGAACGGACGAGAAGCUUGCUUCUCUGAUGUUAGCGGCGGACGGGUGAGUAACACGUGGAUAACCUACCUAUAAGACUGGGAUAACUUCGGGAAACCGGAGCUAAUACCGGAUAAUAUUUUGAACCGCAUGGUUCAAAAGUGAAAGACGGUCUUGCUGUCACUUAUAGAUGGAUCCGCGCUGCAUUAGCUAGUUGGUAAGGUAACGGCUUACCAAGGCAACGAUGCAUAGCCGACCUGAGAGGGUGAUCGGCCACACUGGAACUGAGACACGGUCCAGACUCCUACGGGAGGCGGCAGUAGGGAAUCUUCCGCAGUGGGCGAAAGCCUGACGGAGCAACGCCGCGUGAGUGAUGAAGGUCUUCGGAUCGUAAAACUCUGUUAUUAGGGAAGAACAUAUGUGUAAGUAACUGUGCACAUCUUGACGGUACCUAAUCAGAAAGCCACGGCUAACUACGUG